rnacentral:rRNA from 1 species
GCAGUCGAGCGAAUCGAUGGGAGCUUGCUCCCUGAGAUUAGCGGCGGACGGGUGAGUAACACGUGGGCAACCUGCCUAUAAGACUGGGAUAACUUCGGGAAACCGGAGCUAAUACCGGAUACGUUCUUUUCUCGCAUGAGAGAAGAUGGAAAGACGGUUUACGCUGUCACUUAUAGAUGGGCCCGCGGCGCAUUAGCUAGUUGGUGAGGUAAUGGCUCACCAAGGCGACGAUGCGUAGCCGACCUGAGAGGGUGAUCGGCCACACUGGGACUGAGACACGGCCCAGACUCCUACGGGAGGCAGCAGUAGGGAAUCUUCCGCAAUGGACGAAAGUCUGACGGAGCAACGCCGCGUGAACGAAGAAGGCCUUCGGGUCGUAAAGUUCUGUUGUUAGGGAAGAACAAGUACCAGAGUAACUGCUGGUACCUUGACGGUACCUAACCAGAAAGCCACGGCUAACUACGUGCCAGCAGCCGCGGUAAUACGUAGGUGGCAAGCGUUGUCCGGAAUUAUUGGGCGUAAAGCGCGCGCAGGUGGUUCCUUAAGUCUGAUGUGAAAGCCCACGGCUCAACCGUGGAGGGUCAUUGGAAACUGGGGAACUUGAGUGCAGAAGAGGAAAGUGGAAUUCCAAGUGUAGCGGUGAAAUGCGUAGAGAUUUGGAGGAACACCAGUGGCGAAGGCGACUUUC